rnacentral:tRNA from 1 species
GGGUCGGUAGCUCAGCUGGGAGAGCGCUUGGUUCGCAAUCAAGAGGCCGGGGGUUCGACUCCCCCUCGAUCCA